rnacentral:rRNA from 1 species
CCUACGGGUGGCUGCAGUCGAGAAUCUUCGGCAAUGGGCGCAAGCCUGACCGAGCGACGCCGCGUGCGGGAUGAAGGCCUUCGGGUUGUAAACCGCUGUCGUAGGGGAGGAAGAUCCUGUGCAGAACAGGGUUUGACCGAUCCUAGGAGGAAGGGCCGGCUAAUCUCGUGCCAGCAGCCGCGGUAAUACGAGAGGCCCAAACGUUUUUCGGAAUUACUGGGCUUAGAAAGUUCGUAGGCAGCAUGAAAGUGAAAGCCCUCGGCUCAACCGAGGAAUUGCGCUCUGAACUGUCGUGCUUGAGGAAUCUAGAGGUGAGCGGAACUGAUGGUGGAGCGGUGAAAUGCGUUGAUAUCAUCAGGAACACCGGAGGCGAAGGCGGCUCACUGGGGAUUUUCUGACGCUGAGGAACGAAAGCCAGGGUAGCGAACGGGAUUAGAUACCCUAGUAGUC